ACGUAGGGUGCGAGCGUUAAUCGGAAUUAUUGGGCGUAAAGGGUGCGUAGGCGGAUAUAUAAGUUAGAUGUGAAAAGCCAGGGCUUAACCUUGGUCGUGCAUUUAAGACUGUAUGUCUAGAGUUUGUAAGAGGGGGGUAGAAUUCCAAGUGUAGCAGUGAAAUGCGUAGAGAUUUGGAGGAAUACCGAUGGCGAAGGCAGCCCCCUGGUAUAGAACUGACGCUGAGGCACGAAAGCGUGGGUAGCAAACAGGAUUAGAUACCCUGGUAGUCCACGCCCUAAACGAUGUUUACUUGCUGUUGGGAGCAAUCUUAGUAGCGAAGCUAACGCGAGAAGUAAACCGCCUGGGGAGUACGGUCGCAAGAUUA
rnacentral:rRNA from 1 species